rnacentral:rRNA from 1 species
CGUGUAGGCGGUGCGGUAAGUCAGGCGUGAAAUCCCCGGGCUUAACUCGGGGGGGUCGCUUGGGACUGCCGUGCUAGGGUGCGGGAGAGGGAAGUGGAAUUCCCGGUGUAGCGGUGGAAUGCGUAGAUAUCGGGAGGAACACCUGCGGCGAAGGCGGCUUCCUGGACCGUAACCGACGCUGAGGCGCGAAAGCUAGGGGAGCAAACAGGAUUAGAUACCCUGGUAGUCCUAGCCCUAAACGAUGAGCACUGGGUGUAACCCCGCAAGGGGCUGUGCCGAAGCUAACGCAUUAAGUGCUCCGCCUGGGGAGUACGGUCGCAAGGCUGAA